GACCCAAUGUAGUGUAGUGGUUUGAAGUUUGGACGGCAACUCUAAAGACCAGGGUUGAAACCCCUGUUUGGCCA